rnacentral:rRNA from 1 species
UACAGAGGUUUCAAGCGUUGUCCGGAAUUACUGGGCGUAAAGGGUGCGUAGGCCGCGCGGUAAGUCAACUGUGAAAUCCAGGGGCUCAACCCCUGAACUGCGCUUGAUACUUCCGCGCUCGAGCUUUGGAGAGGAGUCUGGAAUUCUCGGUGUAGCAGUGAAAUGCGUGGAUAUCGAGAAGAACACUUAGGGCGUAGGCAAGACGCUGGACAAAUGCUGACGCUCAUGCACGAAGGCUAGGGUAGCGAACGGG